GGAUUAGUGGCGAACGGGUGAGUAACACGUGAGUAACCUGCCCCUGACUCUGGGAUAAGCGUUGGAAACGACGUCUAAUACUGGAUAUGAUUACUGGUCGCAUGGCCUGGUGGUGGAAAGAUUUUUUGGUUGGGGAUGGACUCGCGGCCUAUCAGCUUGUUGGUGAGGUAAUGGCUCACCAAGGCGACGACGGGUAGCCGGCCUGAGAGGGUGACCGGCCACACUGGGACUGAGACACGGCCCAGACUCCUACGGGAGGCAGCAGUGGGGAAUAUUGCACAAUGGGCGAAAGCCUGAUGCAGCAACGCCGCGUGAGGGAUGACGGCCUUCGGGUUGUAAACCUCUUUUAGUAGGGAAGAAGCGAAAGUGACGGUACCUGCAGAAAAAGCACCGGCUAACUACGUGCCAGCAGCCGCGGUAAUACGUAGGGUGCAAGCGUUGUCCGGAAUUAUUGGGCGUAAAGAGCUCGUAGGCGGUUUGUCGCGUCUGCUGUGAAAUCCCGAGGCUCAACCUCGGGCUUGCAGUGGGUACGGGCAGACUAGAGUGCGGUAGGGGAGAUUGGAAUUCCUGGUGUAGCGGUGGAAUGCGCAGAUAUCAGGAGGAACACCGAUGGCGAAGGCAGAUCUCUGGGCCGUAACUGACGCUGAGGAGCGAAAGCGUGGGGAGCGAACAGGAUUAGAUACCCUGGUAGUCCACGCCGUAAACGUUGGGCGCUAGAUGUAGGGACCUUUCCACGGUUUCUGUGUCGUAGCUAACGCAUUAAGCGCCCCGCCUGGGGAGUACGGCCGCAAGGCUAAAACUCAAAGGAAUUGACGGGGGGCCCGC
rnacentral:rRNA from 1 species